UGGAGUGAGAGAGAAAGACAGAAAGAUAUGGGUCCUUAGGGUUCAUAACUGUCUUGAGGUUGUAAAAAGGAGAAUGAUAGAUAGAGAGAUAGAAAGAGAAGGGCAAGUAGUUAAAUUAAAAAAAAAAGAGCAGUAAGAACAUUAAUGGUUUGCAGGGCAGCCAGUGUUCCCUCCUUUCUGCGAGAGAUUCUCUCAAAAUUUAUUAUACAGCAUCUUCGAUCUUCUUUUUAACUUCUUCCUCUACAUCUUUUUAACUUACAUUUUUACAUAUAUAUUUUUGCUAUGAACCCUCAAGAAGGAAAGACAUUAGGAGACAAAGGAGUAUUGGUUCACAUUGCAUAGCCAAUUUAGUUUGUAACAAUGUAUACAUAUAGUGAAACUUGAAAUAAAAAGAGAGAGGAGAUAGAAAUAGAGGGAGUAAAGAGGGUGAGCCAGCUUUAGUGUAUUGGUAGUAGAUGUGGUUUAAAUGCCCCAUACCUUCCAUUUCCUUCUCUCAUAUACCCUAAUUUAAUACCUCUCCUUUAUAACUCCCCUUACAGACAUUCUCACCUCUCCUCAUCACUCACACUUCCCCUCACACGUCUAUCUUCUUCCUUUUUUUGUUUUGUUUUACAAGACAGUCUUCCUUUGAAUCUGCACCUUUAGCACGAAAGAGUACUCUUUGAUAUUGGCCUGGUUCACUCAGAUAUUCCAGAUCACGCACGCACUAUAUAUACGCAUUCUCUUAGUUAUCUGAUUGAGCCGCGCCAAUAUCUCAGUGCUCUCUCGUCUCUCUCUUUCUGUUUUAGACUAUGUUUCUUGUAGAUCUACCUAUAUGUAUUGACUCUUUUUUUUUCUUAUGUGUGUUGGUAAUGAAUUUACAUUCUUUAUUGAUAGUUUUUUUUGAUGUAAAACUCUUUAAUGUAACUACUGUUCUUGCUUGUUAUAUCCAGAUUAUUAAAUAUCGCACUGCGACUCCAUAGAAGCCUUACAUACCCUUUCUUCCCACCCAAGAUGUCACAAUCGCAAGAGAGGUAAUAUGUCAUGGAAUUUUUAAUGGGAGAGAAUCUGACGAGCACGAACCCUAACCUGCAAGCGAGCAAGAGCAUGCAUACAAUGUAAGGCUAUUCGAGCUUGUCUCCUCACAAGCACACCUCUCGCCACCGCUUGAAGCUUCACCAGACUCUUGAGCGCUCUAAACGCUCUCCUUGCCUACAACACUUGCAAUGGUCAACUUUAAAAAAAGAAAAGAACAAGGUUAAUGUGUUCAUGUUUUACCAGGUGACCCCUGAAGAAAGCUUGGAUUUUAAUGGCGGCAUUGUGUUGUCUACUGGUUUCUCGUACAGAUGAGCGAAUGGUGCUAGGAGAUCGUCGGAGAAGGUUCCUCCGCACAACGCCAAACAAUCUUUUGGAGUUGGCCAUUUUGGGAAAGCCCUUGGUCUCUGCUUUGUUUUUGUUUUGUAAAAGAGAAACGUGGAGAAGGAAACGUAGUGUAAACGAAAGUAAAGACGGUGGCUUGAAGGGAAGGAGAUGAUGUGCUCUCCAUUUUUUAGUUGUUGAUCUUAACGAACGAACGUGCUCGCAUGCUCUUCUCUUUCUAGUUUCGCUCUUAUUUUUGUUUUCUUUUUGUUUAUUUUACUUUUCAAGACAGAAAAUGAGAAAAGUCUUUGGUCCU